UACGUAGGGUGCAAGCGUUGUCCGGAAUUAUUGGGCGUAAAGAGCUCGUAGGCGGUCUGUCGCGUCUGCUGUGAAAACUCGGGGCUUAACCCCGGGCCUGCAGUGGGUACGGGCAGACUAGAGUGCGGUAGGGGAGACUGGAAUUCCGUGGUGAUAGCGGUGAAUGCGCAGAUAUCAGGAGGAACACCGGUGGCGAAGGCGGGUCUCUGGGCCGAUGACUGACGCUGGAGGAGCGAAAGCGUCGGG
rnacentral:rRNA from 1 species